rnacentral:rRNA from 1 species
CUACGUGCCAGCAGCCGCGGAAAUACGGAGGGUGCAAGCGUUAAUCGGAAUUACUGGGCGUAAAGCGCACGCAGGCGGUCUGUCAAGUCGGAUGUGAAAUCCCCGGGCUCAACCUGGGAACUGCAUUCGAAACUGGCAGGCUAGAGUCUUGUAGAGGGGGGUAGAAUUCCAGGUGUAGCGGUGAAAUGCGUAGAGAUCUGGAGGAAUACCGGUGGCGAAGGCGGCCCCCUGGACAAAGACUGACGCUCAGGUGCGAAAGCGUGGGGAGCAAACAGGAUUAGAUACCCUGGUAGUCCACSCCGUAAACGAUGUCGACUUGGAGGUUGUGCCCUUGAGGCGUGGCUUCCGGAGCUAACGCGUUAAGUCGACCGCCUGGGGAGUACGGCCGCAAGGUUAAAACUCAAAUGAAUUGACGGGGGCCCGCACAAGCGGUGGAGCAUGUGGUUUAAUUCGAUGCAACGCGAAGAACCUUACCUACUCU